UGACUUUGAGAGUUCUGCUGAUGGCCA
rnacentral:piRNA from 1 species